rnacentral:rRNA from 1 species
UACGUAGGUGGCAAGCGUUGUCCGGAUUUAUUGGGCGUAAAGCGCCCGCAGGCGGCUUGAUAAGUUUCAGGUGAAAUCUCCCGGCUCAACCGGGAGGGUGCCUGGAAAACUAUCAGGCUUGAGUCAUGGAGAGGGGUGUGGAAUUCCCGGUGUAGUGGUGAAAUGCGUAGAUAUCGGGAGGAACACCAGUGGCGAAGGCGGCAUCCUGGCCAUGUACUGACGCUCAGGGGCGAAAGCGUGGGGAGCAAACCGG